AAGAGAACUGGUGCCGCUACCGAGUCCGGGGACAAGCCGCUGUCGAUGCUCCCCAAAGAUCUUUAGAGAGAAGAGAAGCCGAGGCACAGACAGGAGUGGACCGUCAAUAAGAACCACUAGAAGGGAGAUGACUUUAUACCGGCAGACAGUGGCACACAGACACACCUUAAUGUUGUGGGAUUAAUAAGUGAGAAGAAGGACAGCCCCCCUCUUUCCGCUUCCACACUAAACAUUGUUACAGUGAUUGUUGGAGGAUCGCUGUGUUCCUGAGCUCCUGGCUCCAGAACCUCUCAGAGUGUCUUUGUCUGUGGACGAGCGCGGCGUGUUGGAUGGUAAGGUUUCCAGAGGACUUGCCAUUUGCCCGUGGAAAAUAUGGAUUUGACUUUGCUAUAGCCACGUUUUUUUUUAAAUAGAUAUUUUUCAUUUUUUACUUUGUGCGUGUUGUUGUGUUGAUACUGUUAGAUGUUGGACCCUUAAACGACCGCAUACAUUUUAACACUCAUUGCGCGGAGUAACAACCAUGAACUUUGCUGUCAGUUUGGUACACAUCCUUUUGGUCGCGGUUCUUCACCUAUCCACUGUAAAGACUGCCAGCAUUAACAAGGGAGUGGAGAAGAGUAAAAAUGAGGUCAUUCUUCUCCCAGAUGUCAUCACCAAGAGUAUGUGUCAGCCCAGAGAGGUGCUGGUGGACAUCUUCCAGGAGUAUCCGGAGGACACAGAACACACCUAUGUUCCUUCCUGUAUCGUCCUCAACCGCUGUGGAGGCUGCUGCAACGAUGAAGCUAUGGAGUGUGUUCCCACGGAAACUCACAAUGUCACGUUGCAGGUGAUGCGGUUUAGACCAAUGGUAAUGCAGCACACUAUUCACUUAAGUUUCACAGAGCAUCAAAAGUGUGAUUGCAGACUAAAGCCAGAUGUUCAAGCAAAGAAACAAUAGUAAGUAGGUGUUGUCUUUUUUCUAUGUUGGUCGAUGGGGCUCUGGCUCCCACUACUAAUCAGAGUGGUGGGACGACUAUAAAGGCGCUAUGUGAAAGUUUGAUGGCUUGUUGUUCUGGAGCAGAGCGGGAUGUUGAGAUGCACUUAGCUUCAGCUCUACAUAAUGAAGAGUGUUGAGACAUCCAUGACAGGAUGCUUUUCCUACCAAAACAAUACUCAAAAAUGCUUUUAUUUCUUUUAUUGCAAAACUCCAAAGGACUCAAAUGACAUGAAGUCUAAACAUGGGGGAGAACUCAAACAACCCCCUUAGAGUCUAAUGGCAAAUCUGGUCAAAGAAUAAGAAAAUAAGAUUUAGAAGACAAUUUGAGCGAACACUGGAUUCCAGUGCUCAAUGCUACGGACACGUUGUGGUCACUAAAUGAAAAAGAACUUGCUUGUGCACAGACUUGCAAAGGAUAUAUUUCAGUUUGUGGCCCGUUAAAUUUAGUUCAACAGAGAGUGAGCAUGCUCGGUGCUGCCGCAGCGGAGGCAGUCCUGUUUGCUGUAGAUGGUGGAGGUAGCGCGUCGGGCCUUCAGGUCCUAUCUUUACACUUUGAGCGUGCUCUUUUUAUGGCACCGGGUUUAGUACUUUAUGGUGCGGCCAUAACAUCGUAAGUGACCACCCACUGCUGUCUGCGCUCUGACUCCAGUUGCACAAACCUGACCCUCCGCUACUUCCAGUCUAAUUAUAGCAACAGGUGUCAUGCAGUUAACCUUUUUUACUUUUAGUGGUGUAAAUAGAGGCUGAGCUCGGAGACGAGCCACGGUGUCUUCCUUGACUAAGGGAACUCGCUCACUGUCACAGUUGACAUAGGGCUGUGUGUGUUUGACAUGUGCAUGCAUUUGGUUAGUGUGUGUCUCCUCAGCAGUAGGUCAGCUGGUCUAACUUAAAAGGGUACAGGUUAAAUCCUGACGGCAUGGUGGAGGAGAGAUGGGAUCAUGUGAGCUAAUGAUGCUGAGCUAAAUUGAGCUUGUUGAUGUCUACCUGUCUUUGUGCACGUAGGUCACUCUGUGGCAAAGGAGUGUGAAACAUACACUCUGAUACAGUUGGGCAGACCAGAUGUUGUUGGUUGACUACUUCCUGUUUGGCUUAAUCAGCGAUUGAUUGAACCCUGCAUCUGCUCAGGUGUCUCCUCUCUUUCUCCUGCCUCCUCUGUUUGCUGUGACAGCAGCAUUGUUGAUGCCUGGCCCAAUGCGGCAGUAUGUGGCGUCAGCAUGAUGUGAUAAACCGAGGAGAUGAGACCGGCAACACUUCUUUCUUGGCACAGCACUUUGAAACCUGAGGAUGCAUUCCCUGAAAGGACACAAAAUGACAAAGCAAGACAGGACAUUCUUGACACAGAUCUUUCCACAGACUGUUUUCGCCUUAAAAUAUUAAUAUAUAUAUAUAUAUAUAUAUGUACAUAUACUAAAAGUACAUCAACAAUGUGUAUUGCUGCUACAUAUAAAGACACUAUUUAAAGAGAAACGAAUGCGCCACUGGCGUGUGAACGGGAAAUGUUUCGGUAGCCUCCUGCUCAUGGAAAGUUCUUUUUUGUAACACUUCACUGGAUGCUAGUCUGCUGUGGAUAUGCAUAUCUUAAAUAUAUAUAUUAGUAACAAAAACUGGUGAGCACAACUUCAACGGUGCAGCAGCAGACCAACUCACCUCCGAACUCUGACAGAAGAGACUAGUGGAGACAGAGGGAGGACGAGGAGGCGGAGGUGAAGGAACUGCUGUGCUUGAUCCGAACGGCAGGUCCAAAUACUGUUUCCGCUGUGACAUGAAGUUUUUUUCCCCAUUGUAUGGACUAAUUGGUGUAAUAAGACACCUAACAAGUUUCCCGAAUUGACUGUGGAUGCAGGUUAUAUGCCGAGGUGACGGAUAAUGUGAAGAUGAUCUUCUCUCGUGGAAGGGUUACGUGAUGAUGGCAAGAACUGAACUACCUAAUGGUUACGUUUUAGCAAGUUAAACGAUUUUAGUGAAUGUUAAAAUUAGAUUAGGGUUGGGCCUAUGUGUGGGCAAGUGACCAAAAUUAAUAUUGGUUUUAAGGUUGAAGUUUCCAUCAGCAUUAGGGGUAAGAAACCAAGACCUGUUCCUGGUCCUGCCUCCCUCAUGUAACCCCUCCCUCAUGGGAAAACAGACUUAUCUCUUUUUGUGCACAGACUUUAUUUUUGCAUUUUGAGCUAUUGUGUUCCUUUAACAAAAUCUCUUGAGACCAGACUGUCUAAAGGGCUAUUACUGUAGGUAUAUGCGGAGACAAGAAGUGACUAGAAAUGCUGAUCAUAGAUCAGAUCAGCACCUCAGUGUAGAAAUCCACAACCUUCCAGUUCCCUUAUUUAAUAUCUUUGUGUGUGUUCCAAAGAUAUAGUCAGGCAUCCACAACAGCUUAGUUGAUCAUAAGUGAUCUGUUUAUACUUACUAGAUAUCCCUCUGUCUAGUACUCUACAUAUCAUUUAUAGAAUAUGCUCAGUAUUCUGAUAUUUAUAUGCAGUGGUAAGGUCAUUUUUUUGAACUGUUUCAAUCUGUCUGGAGAUUCAAUGGAGAACACGUAUGACUGUAAACUCCUUUUUUUGUGGGAAAAAGGACUGCAAGACAAUGCUUUGACAUUCCUGAUUUAAACUGAAGCUGUGUUUCUCACAAGCUAGAGGGGGAUUAUGGUGGGCCGGUUGACCGAUAGAAACCCCAACAGCCAACAUGUGCAUGAAUGAUGCGCCAACACAGGUGUUUUUCAUUUUGAACUGGGGCGAGGGACAUAUGGUUUUGCACUUGUUCGCCCAAAGGCAUGUCAUAUGGAGGACUGAAGGAGUCUCGUUGCUGCUGCUCAACUCAGACCUAAUAUAGUGAAGACUGUCCAAUCAGACUGAGGCCUCUAGUCUGACAGUGGUGAAAUGGCACAGUUUUCUCUCUGACUCUAACAUUACCUCCUCAUUCCCAAGUAUUACACAUGUGUGGUUCAGUAAGAUACAGCCACUUGCCACAAAUCAAACAUUUACUUUGAUGCUAAACUGUUACCAUAUGAGAAAAAUACCUUACUCAUUGAUGAGCCAUUAUAGAGACAAAAUGGGAUAUAUUCAGUAAAAUUGCAAGGGAUACAAUUUUAGUAAUUAAUAGGUAUGUGCUACUGAAUAUAAUGUUUAUAAAAUAUAAUAUUUUAAAUAUGAGCUCACAUCAGCUGAUCAUGUGAUACAGUUUGUCUGCAGGCUGCUAAAUCUCAACAUGAGAAAAAAUAAUUCAGUUCAUUUAUCUCACGGAGCCUGGCUGGUGUUGAGGUACUCUGGUGCAAGAAUUAGUCAUUUAUGCCCUUGAAAUAAUAACUUGUACUAAAACCGUAAACACGUAUAUACAUGUACUUCAGAAAUCCAUCCUUUCAUUGUCCACUGUUUAUUUCAGCUGUGCUGAAUCACCUAAUGUAAACUGUUUUUCACAAGGAAUGUUGACGGAUGAAGAUACAUGGAAUGAUCAUUUAUUUGAAGUAAAAUAUGACUAAUUUGUUCACACAAAUUAUUAUAGUAUUAAAGGUAUGAAUUUCUAAAUAUACUACCUGUGAGACUCUGUACAAUAUUGUCAGGAAUGGUCAGAAGACGGGUCCAGACUCGAAGUCAGUGAUUCUGACUUUUUCCACAGUAUAGUGACACAUUUUGUUUCAUGAAUCCUACCUGUGUUUCUAGAAGUGCCAGCUGUACACUGCUGUUCAUGUGAACUGACCUUCUGUGCUGCCACCCUCAAACUUGAGGCCUGAGAGUGUGUUCACUGAAACAGGGUGCUGGCUCUGUGCCCAUGCCUCUCCAGUCCUCUGAUGAUGACAACAUUCUAAUUGUAUUUAAAUGACACACUUUGUCUUGAGUUUGUACAGCCACAUUUUUAGUAUAUUUUCACAUUACUAUAUUUAUUGGUGCUGUAAAAUAUUUUACAAUAUUAAUACUCUUUUUGUUGUUUCUAGUGUAUGUAU